CCAAUAGCGUAUAUUAAAGUUGUUGCAGUUAAAAAGCUCGUAGUUGAAUUUCGGGAUUGACACAUCGGUCGUGCCUUAAGGGGUGUGAACUGGUGUAGUCAAUUUCUCACCUUCUGGAGAACCGCGAUGUCCUUAAUUGGGUGCCGCGAGGAACCAGGACCUUUACUUUGAAAAAAUUAGAGUGUUUAAAGCAGGCAUUUUUGCUUGAAUACAUUAGCAUGGAAUAAUAAAAUAGGACGGCAUGAUUCUAUUUUGUUGGUUUCUAGGAUCACCGUAAUGAUUAAUAGGGAUAGUUGGGGGCAUUAGUAUUCAAUUGUCAGAGGUGAAAUUCUUGGAUUUAUUGAAGACUAACUACUGCGAAAGCAUUUGCCAAGGAUGUUUUCAUUAAUCAAGAACGAAAGUUAGGGGAUCGAAGACGAUCAGAUACCGUCGUAGUCUUAACCAUAAACUAUGCCGACUAGGAAUCAGACGAUGUUAAUUUUUUAAUGACUCGUUUGGCACCUUACA
rnacentral:misc_RNA from 1 species